rfam:Cucumis melo, WGS project CAJI01000000 data, contig: 05424
GUGCCUUUUUGGGACAUCCAAUAAAAUUGGAAUGAUACAGAGGAGAUUAUCAAGGCCCCUGUGCAUGGAUGACCUUAUAUAGUUCUAAGUUAGAUCAGAUUUAU